rnacentral:rRNA from 1 species
GAUGAACGCUGGCGGCGUGCCUAAUACAUGCAAGUCGAGCGAACGGACGAGAAGCUUGCUUCUCUGAUGUUAGCGGCGGACGGGUGAGUAACACGUGGAUAACCUACCUAUAAGACUGGGAUAACUUCGGGAAACCGGAGCUAAUACCGGAUAAUAUUUUGAACCGCAUUGUUCAAAAGUGAAAGACGGUCUUGCUGUCACUUAUAGAUGGAUCCGCGCUGCAUUAGCUAGUUGGUAAGGUAACGGCUUACCAAGGCAACGAUGCAUAGCCGACCUGAGAGGGUGGUCGGCCACACUGGAACUGAGACACGGUCCAGACUCCUACGGGAGGCAGCAGUAGGGAAUCUUCCGCAAAGGGCGAAAGCCUGACGGAGCAACGCCGCGUGAGUGAUGAAGGUCUUCGGAUCGUAAAACUCUGUUAUUAGGGAAGAACAUAUGUGUAAGUAACUGUGCACAUCUUGACGGUACCUAAUCAGAAAGCCACGGCUAACUACGUG